UCCAUCACGUUUAGUGCAUUGUUUCUUUCGGGCAAGUUUUGCAGCGAUCCAUCAGAAAAAGGGGGAAAGGCUGGUUUGUGGGUGCAUCCUUCCCAGGAGCUCAGCUCUCUGUCUCUCUAAGGGGCUCAGCUGUGCCAAAGACACCCCCUGGCCCGCACGGCCAACUCCUUCCCUCCUUCUCUUCUGGGUCCUUUUGCUUACACAGAGCUUUUAAUCCCAUUUAACUCCCUCUCGGCAGACUGCAGUUACCUUGGGAAAAAGGAGAGAGAGGAACAAAGUACAAACUAGGAAAAGAAUGUGGCCCAUGGUCGCCGUAUUUCUUGCCUCUUUUUUUCCUCCUCCUCCUCACUAUUAAUAUAACUUCUAUGAUCUCUUAUUUCCAAAGUCCUUGGUUGAAAGUGUUUUUUUUUUCUCGGAGCUGUAACUUGUUUGUUUGCGUGGUGGUUAUCAUAAUUAUUUUUAUUUGCAAUGCAGAUGUGCUUCCCAGCCCCCACGAACUCUUCUCUGGACUUAGAGAAAAGAGGGAAAAAGGCAGAUUUUGAGAAAUGAAAAUUAUUUAAGGAUGUUUCUGCUGCCUCUCUCUGCUGCCCUCCUCUGUAACACUGAAGUGAAGCACUUAAAAAUAUAUAUAUCAGCCAGAAGAGCUCAAGACAAAAAAAUCAGCUGACCCCUACCAGUCUAUCCCAGGAGAAACUCCAUUCAAACCCCUCUCUGGCCUGCAGAGGGAAAUUAACAAAGGUUACAUUCAAACCGAUCACUUCAUCUUUCAGCAGGAAUGGAAAACCUGAAAAGAAAACCUCUGGCAGGACUGACCCACAAGUUGCCUCAACUGUUCUCACCAUCUGAUGGCAAAGUCAAAGGGCUGACAGUGUUUCGAACUGCACAAGGCAGACAGGAUGACAUGACCCCCUGCACCACAAGGUUUACAAUGCAAGAGCCAGGUCCUGUGAGAUGCUCUUCACUGAAUGGGAGUCAAGGGCACUCUGCACCUCACCAGAAGGCUCGAAGCAACCAAAAGUGGAAACAAGCUCAUUAUAUUCAGUUAUUUCAGUGACAGAUUCAGAUGAUCUCACAUUUCAUUGUUGUCUCACACAGAAGGCAGAGGAGAGUAUAUGAAAGGCAUAUGAGUAAGAGCAAUGUACAGACUUCUAAAUGUGUACACACAUAUCUAGAUAAUUGAUACCACAUGAGCAAUUCAGGACCUGACCCUUUGCAAUCUGCUUUUCCCAGAAAGCCCCAAAACUCAUGCAGCAACCCACUGAAGUCAUGGGAGCAAGGGUCUAACUGAAGAUCAGCUUGCAGGAUUGGACCUUAAUCGCUAAGGGAAAAUGAUGCAUUUUAAGACUGACCAAAUGUAACACACACUUUUCUUCCUCCUGCCCCUAUAACUGCACAUACCCUUCAAGACUAAUCAACAUUAACUCUACCAAACUUUCCUUCCCCAAAAAUCCAUCAGUGUGAAGAGUGAUGGUGAUGCUUUUCAGUAUAGUGCUAUAAUAUACAAAAAGACAAAACAACAGAGCAAAGGUUAAAGAAAGGUGGAGGUAGAAACUUAUGCAUAGAUCUCACUGGCACAUUAACACCACAGCAGUUCCCAGCUCUUGGGAUACACAGCAGUUUCUCUAGGACCUAUAAUGAAAUAGACUUGGGACACAAUCUUGCAAAUGCUUCCUCACAUACUUCUCUUAAUCACAUGAGUAGUCACAUAAAAGCAAGCUAAGCACAUAGAUAAGCAUUUGUAGGAUAUGGACAUGGAUGCAAUCACAGUAUUAUCAUCUUAAAAAUAGAGAGGUAAAUUAGCUUAGGCCUGGUCUACAGUAGGACUUUAAUUCGAAUUUAGCAGCGUUAAUUCGAACUAACCGCUCAACCGUCCACACCAGGAAGCCAUUUAAUUCGAACUAGAGGGCUCUUUAGUUCGAAUUUGGUACUCCAUACAGCUCAUCCCUGUACUCCAUACAGCUACACCCUGUACUCCAUACAGCUCAUAAUUUAUGCAGGAUCGGACACAGAGCAGCUGUGCUCUCUGGUUCUAUGAUACAGUGGUUCUGUAGUACACUUUCCCAUAAUCU